rnacentral:rRNA from 1 species
GUGCCAGCAGCCGCGGUAAUACGUAGGGCGCGAGCGUUGUCCGGAAUUAUUGGGCGUAAAGAGCUCGUAGGCGGCUGGUCGCGUCUGUCGUGAGAUCCUCUGGCUUAACUGGGGGCUUGCGGUGGGUACGGGCCGGCUUGAGUGCGGUAGGGGAGACUGGAACUCCUGGUGUAGCGGUGGAAUGCGCAGAUAUCAGGAAGAACACCGGUGGCGAAGGCGGGUCUCUGGGCCGUUACUGACGCUGAGGAGCGAAAGCGUGGGGAGCGAACAGGAUU